AUGCUUGUUAUACAUCUGUCCCUUUGUUUCUCCUCCUCUUCCUUUUACUACCUUUUUAGCACUCUCAUGCAUUUGUAUAUUAAUAUAUGACAAAGCAGUGUUACUUUUCUCUCAGAUCAAGAGCUUAUAUGUUAUUAUGAGAAAGUGUUAAUGUUUUAGAUCAUUUGGUAGGAUUCUUAGUGUACAUGCAGGUGAAAUACUGAUGGAAAAUAACUGAUAAUCACAGAAACUUGUAAAGUUUAAUAGUGGUGUUCUAAUGUAUUCUAGAAUAUUGGAGCCCAUACAUAAAUGGUUUCAGUUACCUGAGACUGACUUAUGUUUAUUUAUGGUGAAUGAGUGUUUAGCCUAGGACAAGGUACUAGGUAAAAAAGCCAUAAUUUAAGCAUAGAUGAAAAACUUAAAAUUUUUUAUUUGCAUUUGUUGCAAUCUGGGAAUGCAGUCAGUUAGCAUGACUCGGCUGACCUGUGAUGACAUGUUACUGCUUGGUAACUCAUCUGUAAUUGUAGGGUUUAUUUCAGUUGUAAGUAUGCAGCUAUAGUAUAAGCUGGUCAUCCAGCUCAAUGAUACUUUCCACUGAAAUCCAGUGUUAGCUAAGCUUUUUUUGUCUGUGAUAAGUCAUAUUACACUUCAUUUUAAUUCGAGAUUUCUGAGAAGAGUAGGGUUUGGGAGGUUAUUUUUCUAGCGUUGCAUACUUCAUUAGAAACUUGAUGGGGCGCUAGAUAGAACAAAAUACAGAAUGUUGUGUUAAAACUUGCCAUGCAGUACCACUAAUGUUUGACCUAAUUGCUGUUUUUAACAGCUGUAAUUGUGAGUGUGUGCACAGCAUAGAGAUAGCUGACAGUUUACAACUGACUUUAAUUUGUGUGUUGGGGUAACAACUGUUGAACUCAGAAUGUGCUGAGUUAGCCCAUCAAGAGCUAUUUGUCUGAGGCAUAGGUAGCAUAGCUUUCCCUG